UGUGUUGACAGGUUUAUAUCUGAAGUUUAAUUAUUCCAAUCAUGGCAGAACCAUCUAUAUCUUUUACAUUAUUUUGGAUUUGUUUAAUUGAUAUUCUAUGAUCAUUUUCCUUGGCUAUGGAAAUAUUGUGUAGGUAUUUUGUAUUCAAAUGUCACUGUUUGACUAGUGCCUGGCUCUAAUCUUAACUCCUACAAAUUAUAAUAGUACACUAUACUAUUUUUCACGAGAGAAAAGAUAGUUUUUUUGCGCACACAGACUGAGCUUGCGGAUCACUCGUUACCACUCUCGUCGUCGACAGCAGUCCGCAAAAUUACACCUGGCCCGAUAGUGGUGGGAGCCCUAAGCGAGGUGCGGCGUAGGGAUGGGUAAGAAUGAUUAGUUUUAAUUGAGACUACUGUUCUUGAAAAAUAGUAUAGUUUGAUGCAAGAAUGUCUACCCAGGUAUCCAUUAUAAAGUACCUAACAAUGGUCUAACAUAAUUUUAUAAACAUGGGUUUAAAAAUAAACAAUACGAUAUGCCUAAUAAAAUCUUUCACUAAUAGAAGCAUGGUGCCUUGGGUUUGUAAAACAUGUAACAUUGUCAGGGAGACACCUGAUGUGGUUAAUUAUGUAUAGGAAUUUUUUUUUUAAGAUAACAUUUUAUUUAUUUAUUAGGAAAGUUCAAUUGUAAAAAUUUUAAAAAUAAACAAUUUUAAAAUGCUGAAUAUAAUAAUUUAUAUUAUAACUCUAGAAUACAAUAGUGUACCUAGUAAAAUGUCAAUAGACUUUUUACAGACUAAAUUUAGUUCACUCAAAUAAUAGCAUAAAAGCAUGAAAAGGCCUUCAUAGAUAAUUUCAAUGAAUGAAUGGAAUGAAAGAUACCAAUCGUUAUUUUAAACAUUUUUAAUUUUUUUGAAAAUACUUUUUUCACAUAAUCGUUUCCAAUUAUUAAACCAAC